rnacentral:lncRNA from 1 species
AAUGAGAUUUUUUAAAGUACCAUUUAAAAUAGCAUACAAAACACAAAAUACUUAGGAAUAAAUUUAAGAAAAUAUGUUGAAAAUUUGUAUCCUGAAAGCUAUGAAACAUUUCUGAAAAAAAAUUUAAAAGACCUAAAUAAAUGGAGAGCUAUUCCAUGUUUUGGAUUGGAAGACUCAAUAUUUUUUUACUCAAUAUUUUUAAGAUGUUAAUUUUCCCUAAAUUGAUCUAUAGAUUCAAUAUAAUCCCAACCCAAAUUCCAGAUGGCUUUCUUUUUGGUAAACUUCACAAGCUGAUUCUAAAAUGUAUAUGAAUAUGCAAAAGAUCUAGAAUAGCCAAAACAAUGUUGAAAGAGAAGAACAAAGUUGUAGGACUUAUAUUACCUGUUUGCAAGACUCACUAUAAAGUUACAGUAAUCAAGACAGUGUAGAAACACAUAUAAAUCAAUAGAACAAAAUUAAGAGUCCAGAAUUAGACCUACACAUAAGUGGUCAAUUGAUUUUUCAACAAAUAUGCCAAAGUAAUUCAAAAGGGAAAGAAGAGGGAUCUUUUAUUCCAACAAACGUGCUGGAACAACUGGAUAUCUAUAUGGAAAAAAAAGAAGCCUUGACUUUUACCUCAUGCAAAUAUUAGCUCAAAAUAGACUAUAGACCUAAAAAUAGAAGCAAAAACAAUCAAAUGACUAGAAAAAAAAUAUGAGAGGGAAUCCUCAUGAAUUGGGGGUAGGCAAAAAUUUCUUAGGACAUAAAAAGCACACAUCAUAAAUAAAAAAGUGAUAAAUUGGAUGUCAUGAAAGGUAAAAACUUAUGCUCCCCAAAAGCAUCAUUUAAAAAAUGAAGAGGCAAGCCACAGACAAAAUGAGAUAAAAUAUUCUUAACACUUAUACCUAAAAAAGGACUUUUAUCCAAAAUAUAUUUAAAAAUUCCAAAACUCAAUAGCAAGAAGAUAGCUCAAUUAAAAUGGGUAAAAUAUUUGAAGAAACACAUCACAACAUGCACAUGAAAAGAUACUCCGCAUCGUUAGUCAUGAGGGUACAAAUUAAUGUCACAACAAGGUUCUACUGCAUACCCACUGGUACGGCUAAAAUAAAAAGGCUGAAUUUCUUAUAGAUGUAUAUUUUAAACAUAUGUUUACUGUAUGACCAGGCGAUCCCACACCUAGGUAUUUGCCCAAGAAAAGGAAAACGUAUGUAUGUGUAUGUUUUUAGCAACCCAAACCAGAAACAAUACAGACGUCCCCCAACUGGUUAAUAUAAAAACAAUCAGUGGUAUACCCAUAAAAUAGAAGGCUACUCCACAAUCAAGAAGAAGAAACUAACUACUGAUCUAUUCCACAAAAUGGAUGAAUCUCAAAUACAUUAGAAGUGACAGAAUCCAUUUAUUUUGUAUUCUGGAACAGGCAAAACUAUAAAGCUAGAAACAGCUGAGUGGUUGCCAGGACUAAAAGUGGAACAAGGGAAAUUUGGGGGAUGAUGGACCGUCUGUAUCUUGAUUGUGGUGAUAGAUAUAUGACUGCAUGUAUCUUUCAAAAUUCUUAGAACUAUUCACUAAAGAUGGUGAAUCUUAAGGUAUGUAAAUCAUACCUCAAUAAACCUGACUUUAAAAUUAUUUAAACACUGGCAACACCAAGUAUUGUCAAAGAUGUGGAAGCAUUUAUGUGGAGCUUUCAUCACGGCUGAUGGGAGUACAAUACGGUACAACCACUUUGGAAAACAGUUUGUCAAUAUCUCAUGAAGUUAAACUUACGCCUACCAUACAACCCAACAAUCCCACACCUGGCUAUUCACCCAAGAGAAAUGAAACUAUAUCCAAACAGGCUUGUACAUGAAUGUUUAUGGCAGCUGUAUUCAUAGAGAACAAUAACUGAAAGUAACCGAAAUGUCUAUCAAAUGGUAGAUGGAUAAAUAAACAAUGUAUUAUAUCCCUUAUGUUUAUGUAUUUACUCAGUAUUCUGUAGUAACAAACGUUUGAUACACCAAGCAACAUGAAUGAAUCUUAAUUCACACUGAGCAAAAGAAACCAGACACACAGCACUGUAGGAUUUCAUGUAUGUAAAAAUAGAAGAGAGAAAGCUAGUCUAUAGUGGCUGAAAGCAGAUCAGUGGUUGCCUUGGGCUGGGAUGGAGGAGGCAGGGCCUGACUGCCAAGGGGCACCAACCAACCUUCUGUGGUGAAGGAACUGUUCUGUUUCUUGAUUGUGGAGGUGGUUACACACGUGUAGACAUUGGUCAAAACUCACUGGACUGUGCUUUUUAAGUGUAUGCAUUCUAUUAUAUAUCAGUUAUGACUUAGUUAAUUUUUAAAAGUAGCAGCCUUGGAAAUUAAUUUUAAAGGUGGAGUUCCAAUAUUAAGUAGCUUUCAGAACAACUCUGCUGAUUUUUAGAUGAUUUAUGUACAUGAGCAAAGGGUUACUUUGGAGGCAGGAUGGCUCGGCUUUGUGCUAGAUGCCUAGACAAUUUAGUCUCAAAUGUAUAAUCUUGUCUGAGUUAGCUUUGUUUUACCCUAAAAAAAAAAAUGAGGUUGGCAAGGUUAAUGCCUUAUACCUUGCUAUGUUCCAUGAAAGUUGCCAAAGUAGUGUUUUCACUGACAAUAUUGCAUUGUUCCCUAGCUAUGGAUUUUGGAGGAAAAAUAUGGCAAGAAUACUCCUUCUUUUAGAUCUAAAGGCGUGUUUACAGACUUCAUGUUUAUCUCAAGCCCUGGCCUUCUCCACGCCAUAUUUCUUUAAAGGCCCAGAACCCUCAGACUCUCGAGAUAUUCUACAGGGCUUGUAGGAACUGGUGUGUGAUCUUUCCCUGUGAGUCAACAAUGCAUUUGAUUCCAGAAGCGAGGGACUAGGCCUUUUUAUGGACUUGAUACUUCUACCCUGUUAAUGCAUUUUUGUUAGUAUUUUCUGAUAGAGUGUUUAUUCAUUCAGCAGGCAUUUCCUGAGCACCUACUAUGUGCUAGGCUUUAUAUUGGGUAUAAUGAGUAUGGAGGUGAUUAAGACAUAACCUUUAUUCUCAGUGAGGUCCCAGGCUGGUUAGUAGAAAAGCUAAUGCAGGCUGGACUGCCAGUCUUGCCCCCACUUCUCCAGUCCCCAUCCAUCCUCCAGGCUAUAAACAAAGGUGUAUUACAGAGCAUGGAGACCACUCCCCAACUGAAAACCUUUAGUGGUGCCUCAUUUUUCUCUUGGUGAAAUUCAGGCUCCAUAAUAUGGGCCUUUGUAAUCCACUUUCUGCCCAUCUCUCCUACCUCAUCUCUUGCCAUUGCUCUUCUACCCAUUUAUACUUUUUACUGACAGCUUUGCUUCCAUACACAGGAGACUCUGGAUGUUUCUAGUUCAGAGUCUUCCAGAUGGGCAGAUCUAUAGCCACUUCAGGAAGAGAGCAUCGUGAUCCAGUGAGCCUUGCCCUAAGCGUGUGUGUAUGAUUUGUCAACGAUCGAGGAUUUUAUGGGAGUUUAUGGGACUUCAUUAAAGAUGCUGGAGCAGGAGCACUGUGGGACAUCAGAAGAGACCUCAGCAAUAAACCACAAUUCCAAGCUUUGGAAUGCAGUAAAUGUUUAAGAGACUUCCUUCCUUUCAUUACUGAAUUUUACUUUACUUUCAUACCAGUAAAGAGUUGUGUUUUAUUGGUUGAAAUUUCUUGAUUCUGUUUUUCCCAGGUCUGUUUAAAAGCUACAUUUUAUCUUUGAGGAUGUUUGGCUCGUGGUGGAGGAAGUGCUGCCAGCGAAUUCAAUUAACUGGCAGAGCUCACAGAUAUUGUACACGGAUUUCUUUUUUUCUUCUUUUUCACAACUGCUACAUAAACACAGCUGGGUUUAAUAUUUGUCGUAACAAAGAUUUAACUUGAAUCAUUUUACCCCGGGUAAUUAAUGCUUGGAAUCUUGGCUACUUUUUCGUUCGUUUGUAAUCCUCUGCAUUUCUUUACUCUAGCUAUCUAGAUAAUGAAGUGUGCUCCUCUAGGUCUUUGCCCUGCCUUAAAACUGCUUAAUAUUUGGCCGUUCCCACUAGAGAGCAGAUGCUUUUCUUUGCAAGAAUUGAAUUUCUGUCAGCUCUUUUAUGCAUCAUGUGUUUGGAACUGUAAGUGGAUCAAGUUGUUCAUCACAGCGGGGACACUGUGAAACACAUCUAUUAUACACACUUCCCACCCCCCUUCCUGUUUUGUUUUUUUUUCCUCCCCUGAGGAGGUGGAGAUGCCCGGAUCCCCUUGGGAGAUAUCUCGCUCUGUGUGGAUGUAUCCAUGUGAUCCACCAUGAAUCCGGCCUGGCCACAUCCCUAAGCAGGGAAAUCUGUAUCCAUUCAGCCCAGGAUUGUGGCUGAGACAAACCCCACUUUUAUCUUUGUAAACACCAAGCUCUUCAUUAACUCCCAAAUACACACCAAGUUUGGGUCACUAAGUAAAUCCACUAGGCUCAGCAUAAUGAGUGACAUUUCAGUAAUUGAUGCCCUAGAAUAUGUUCAUUGUGAACCCAUGAUUCUUUUCGAUGCUAAAAUAAAGGCUUGGGUAGUUUUGGCUUUGGAGUUGAGCUAGCGCAGAAGAAUAGUCACCAUCGAUUAGGCCCCUACAGUGUGCCAGGCACUGUGCUAGGGGAUUUGAAAAUCUUGACAUUUAAUCUACAUAAGAAUCCUGCAAAAAAAAGAAGGGGAGGGUACUUUAUCCCCUUUUUAUAGAUGAAGAAAAGGGGCCAAGUAACUUGCCUAGAGGCAUCCAGAUAAUUGCCAGGAGGAGAGCCAGAAUUUGAACUCAGGUCGGGCUGAGCCCAGAGUAAAUCCAUGUACUGUAAAGUGUGGUCCCCUCAUGCCUAGAGGUCACUAGAAUAUAUUCAUCCAUUGAUCAAUCAAGACAUUGAUUUAUUAUGCAUGUUUAUGACAUGCUGCCAUUGCUCCAUCUGAGUUGUCUCAUUCCAUGUCAGGUCUGAAGUUUGGUUGGCAUUUGUGAACACCUUUGUACUCAUCUAAAUCUGAACUCCUGGUGGUGACUGGAAUAGUUUUAGUUUUGCUUUUCUCUCAAAGCUCAGUGCAAAUACAACCCAAGUGCCCCAAGCAACCUACUGUUUUCUUAGAGUUUUGUGAAUUUCAAUUUCUAGCUGUGAACUGAUGGUUAAAAUUUCUACACCUCUAUGGUUUAGUUUGUUAACACGGCUUUAGGGAAGCAGGCAUCUUGGUGGCAUUCCUGCUGUGAUAUGCUCAUCUUUUGGGCCUCAGAUAGUGGCUCUGAGGGCAGAAGUGCAUUUUGGUUCAUUUUUAAUAUAUGUCAUUCAAUUUGCCAGAGUCAUUGUGAGACAUUCACAUGUCUGACUGAGAUACUGCUGAUCUGUAGAAUUAAUUAUAGUUAAAUGGAAAGGUGGCUUUUGCUCAUGAAGAAAGUCGUUAGUCUCUUGAUAAACAUUUUUAAUUAUGAUUAACUUUAGUCUUCCUCCAAAUACUUUCCAUUAGAAAAGGCAUUAAUGUUCUGGUUCAUUAGAAAUAGAGCAAUCCUUUUAUUUUUGGUUUGCAGUCCAUUUUGUUCUUGAAAGAUAUUGGUCCACUUUUUUAAAAAAAAAUUGGUGGAUGUUGUGUUGUAAAAAACAUAUAAGUUUCCUUUUGCAAGUGCAUAUCAGUUUUUUCAAAGGUAACUUACACUUUAAUUUUGUGUGUUGUGUUUGCAAGAGAAUGCUUCUUGGUUUAUUCAUGUUGACAACUGAAAAGCCUUAGACCUAAUUAAAAGAAUUUCCAUGAGCACC